rfam:TPA: Bos taurus chromosome X, whole genome shotgun sequence.
UCCCUGGUGGCUCAGACAGUAAAGCAUCUGUCUACAAUGCAGGAGACCCGGGUUCGAUCCCUGGGUUGGGAA